AUCCAGCUGACGAGUCCCAAAUAGGACAAAGUUGUGCGCGCCCUAGAU
rnacentral:hammerhead_ribozyme from 1 species